rnacentral:rRNA from 1 species
UACGUAGGGUGCGAGCGUUAAUCGGAAUUACUGGGCGUAAAGCGUGCGCAGGCGGUUUUGUAAGACAGUCGUGAAAUCCCCGGGCUCAACCUGGGAAUGGCGAUUGUGACUGCAAAGCUGGAGUGCGGCAGAGGGGGAUGGAAUUCCGCGUGUAGCAGUGAAAUGCGUAGAUAUGCGGAGGAACACCGAUGGCGAAGGCAAUCCCCUGGGCCUGUACUGACGCUCAUGCGCGAAAGUGUGGGGAGCGAACAGG